AGAUUGAACGCUGGCGGCAUGCUUUACACAUGCAAGUCGAACGGUAACAGGCCGCAAGGUGCUGACGAGUGGCGAACGGGUGAGUAAUGCAUCGGAACGUGCCCAGUCGGUGGGGGAUAACGCAGCGAAAGCUGUGCUAAUACCGCAUACGAUCUAUGGAUGAAAGCGGGGGACCGAAAGGCCUCGCGCGAUUGGAGCGGCCGAUGUCAGAUUAGCUAGUUGGUGGGGUAAAGGCCCACCAAGGCGACGAUCUGUAGCUGGUCUGAGAGGACGACCAGCCACACUGGAACUGAGACACGGUCCAGACUCCUACGGGAGGCAGCAGUGGGGAAUUUUGGACAAUGGGCGCAAGCCUGAUCCAGCAAUGCCGCGUGCA
rnacentral:rRNA from 1 species